UUGCUUUGAGCUCGUCUCUCUCUCUCUCUCUCUCUCUCUCUCUCUCUCUCUCCCUUUGUAGCACACACGGCGGGAAACCGAUAUUUUGGCGAAAACCCUCCCUCCAAUUCCCAAAACCCGAUCCUCUCAUCCUCCUCUUUUAAAUCCCUAAUCCAAUCUCUUUUCCCAAAAUUUCGAAACCCCACUCACUUCCACUCCGAGAAGACGUGAGAAAGUUUCGCUACCUAUACUCCAUUGACAUAACUUUCCGUUCGAGACCGAGUGCGAGAGAGAGCAAAGGUAAGGCCCACCGCUUUUGCUUCUUCUCUCUCCUCGGUCGCUAAAAUUCAUGGCAUUCGCUCUCAAGCACCAAGAUGACGACACCACCGUCGACGUCCACAGCGCCGUCGGCACUCCCGUUCGGUAUCUCCCACUUGACCACGUCUACUCCGCUACCUCCCCCUGCUGCGUCAGCGUCAGCGUCAGCGCCAGCGGCUCCUCCAACGUCAUGUCCAAGAAAGUGAAAGCCCGUAAGCUCAUCGUCAACGAUUAUGACCACGAUCUCGAUCCCGAUCGCAAACCCUCCUCCCCUUCCAUCCAUAGACGACCUCCUCUCGUCCACGUUUACUCUCGCCGCCCCAAAACAUUCCGCCAUUCAUCGUUCUACGAUUCUGUCAUCACCCGCGAAGAGGCAACUUCUGAGUUUGAUGGGAAGUUAGGGGGGAGAUUGUUGAACAACAAGAAGAAGAAACGGAGAUUUGGGAGUAGUGAACUGGUGAAGUUGGGUGUAGACUCCAGCGUUUUACGCAGCCUUGAUGGCCCGCGGUUGAGGGAUUCCCGAAAUCGUAAUGCUACUAAUAGUAAUAAUUCUAGUACUAACUCCCGGAAAAGGAAGCGAGUUUUUUCGGAGAAUUGUGAGAACGUUUUGUCCGAGUCACCUUCCACCAGGAGAUGGGUCAGGUUGAGUUUCGAUGGUGUUCAUCCAAAAACAUUUAUUGGACUACAAUGCAAGGUUUAUUGGCCACUGGAUGCUGAUUGGUACUCUGGUCGAGUUGUGGAUUACAAUCCAGAGGCUAAUCUACAUCAAGUAGAAUAUGAAGAUGGUGAUAAGGAAGAUCUGAUUCUUUCAAAUGAGAAAAUUAAAUUUUAUAUCUCUCAUGAAGAGAUGCAACAUUUGAACUUCAGUUGUAGUGUUAACAGUAUGGAUGGCGAUACCUAUGAUUAUAACGAGAUGGUUGUGUUGGCUGCAAGUUUGGAUGACUGCCAAGAUCUUGAGCCCGGGGAUAUUAUAUGGGCCAAGCUUACUGGUCAUGCUAUGUGGCCGGCAAUUGUUGUGGAUGAAUCACUCAUUGGUGAUCAUAAAGGGUUAAGCAAAAUUUUGGGAGGACAGUCAAUUACAGUGCAGUUUUUCGGUACACAUGAUUUUGCAAGAAUUAAAGUGAAACAGGUUAUCUCAUUUCUCAAGGGACUCCUUUCUUCUUUCCACCUGAAGUGCAAGAAACCUCGUUUCAUUCGCAGCUUGGAAGAAGCGAAAACGUAUUUGAGUGAACAAAAGCUUCCAAGAAGAAUGCUACAGCUGCGAAAUGGAAUUACCACUGAUAAUGUAAGUGCAAGUGAAGAUGAUGGAGGGAGUACUGAUACUGGUGAAGAUUGCCUAGAAGAUGUAGAGAUUGAUGGAGCAUCAGAGAGCCUUGGUACUUCUUCCUAUGUAAUUGGGGAUUUGCGAAUUAUGAGCCUCGGUAAGAUUGUCAAGGACUCGGAAUACUUCCAAGAUGAGAAAUCCAUUUGGCCUGAAGGAUAUACUGCUGUGAGAAAGUUUACUUCAAUGAACGAUCCCAGUGCAUGUGCCUUAUAUAAGAUGGAAGUGUUGAGAGAUGCUGAAUCAAAGCUUCGACCUCUAUUUAGAGUGACAUUAGAUAAUGGAGAGCAGUUCAAAGGAUCCACUCCAUCUGAAUGCUGGAAUAAAAUAUACAAAAGAAUAAAAAAAAUACAAACAAGUAGCUCUGAUUGUUCAAGUGCUGAAGCUGCAGGAGAGAGAAUCUAUAAGUCUGGUUCUUACAUGUUUGGUUUCUCCAAUCCUGAAGUUUUGAAGCUUAUACAGGGGUCAUCUAAAUUUAGACUUUCUUCAAAAUUCUCUGUCUGCAAGUUAGCCUCUAGAAGAUAUCAAGACCCGCCUGUUGGGUACCGACCUGUUCGUGUUGACUGGAAAGACCUUGACAAGUGCAGUGUUUGUCACAUGGAUGAGGAGUACGAAAACAAUCUGUUCCUGCAAUGUGAUAAAUGCAGAAUGAUGGUCCAUGCUAGAUGCUAUGGAGAAUUAGAACCUGUCAAUGGAGUGCUAUGGUUAUGUAACUUAUGUCGACCCGGGGCUCCCAACCCUCCUCGUUGCUGCCUUUGUCCUGUUAUAGGGGGCGCAAUGAAGCCAACAACUGAUGGGCGCUGGGCUCAUCUAGCGUGUGCUAUAUGGAUACCUGAAACUUGCUUAUCAGAUAUAAAAAGAAUGGAGCCUAUUGAUGGGCUAAGUAGAAUCAAUAAGGAUCGCUGGAAGCUGUUAUGCAGCAUCUGUGGUGUAUCUUAUGGAGCUUGCAUUCAAUGUUCAAACAAUACUUGUUAUGUAGCGUAUCAUCCACUUUGUGCACGUGCUGCUGGUUUGUGUGUUGAGCUUGAAGAUGAGGACAGACUAUAUCUGCUUGCCGUAGAUGAUGAUGAAGAAGAUCAGUGCAUCCGAUUGCUAUCGUUUUGCAAGAAGCAUAGGCAACCCUCUAAUGAGCGUUCGGCUGGUGAUGAACGUAUUGGGCAAGUUGCUCGUCAGUGUUCAGACUAUACCCCACCAUCUAAUCCUUCUGGCUGUGCUCGCACUGAACCUUACAAUUACUUUGGUAGAAGGGGGCGGAAAGAGCCAGAAGCCCUUGCUGCUGCCUCCUUGAAGCGCUUGUUUGUACAGAACCAGCCUUACUUAGUGAAUGGUUAUGGCCAGCACACAUUUUCAGGAAACUUGUCUUCUUCCAAUGGACUCAUCGGCUUCAUGUUCUCUUCUACCCUACAGAGGCUGAAAAGCUCUCAGCUUAAUGCUCCUAACAACAUACUCUCAAUGGCUGAAAAAUAUAGAUAUAUGAGGGAGACAUUCCGAAAGAGACUAGCAUUUGGGAAAUCAGGAAUCCAUGGGUUUGGUAUCUUCGCAAAGCAUCCACAUAGAGCAGGAGACAUGGUGAUUGAAUACACAGGCGAACUUGUUAGACCUCCUAUAGCUGACAGGAGAGAGCGCUUUAUAUACAAUUCAUUGGUGGGUGCUGGGACUUAUAUGUUUCGGAUUGAUGAUGAGCGAGUCAUUGAUGCCACAAGGGCUGGAAGUAUUGCUCAUCUGAUUAACCACUCCUGUGAGCCAAAUUGCUAUUCAAGAGUUAUAAGUGUCAAUGGUGAUGAGCAUAUAAUUAUAUUUGCCAAGAGAGACAUCAAAAGAUGGGAGGAACUCACAUAUGAUUAUAGAUUUUUUUCAAUUGAUGAACAACUAGCAUGUUAUUGUGGCUUCCCAAGAUGCCGGGGUGUAGUUAAUGACAUCGAAUCGGAAGAGCGAGCAGCAAAGCUAUAUGCACCUCGCAGUGAAUUAAUAGAUUGGAGAGGAGAGUAAAAAAGCAUCUAGAUUGUUAAGUGAUUACAACAAAAAUUGGGAGGGUGUGGCUUCUGAAGAAUAAUUUCAUUGCUCGGUGUAUAAUGAAGACUAAAACCCCCUAGCCUCUAGUCAUAGAUAAAAAAAAGAAGUUUCUCACUGUAAAGAUUGUUUAUCUGAGAUGCUUCUGAAGAGACAUCUUUUCUCCAACCUACUCAUCGGCUCUUAUUUUUUAUUGAGGCAGGAAGCGGUGUAGAGUUCUGAUUUUUCUUCUCUCAUCUAUUUGUUACACAACCAAAGAGCUUUUUUCGUAAAAGCUCUUUAAUUUGAGCAAACCAACUUGAGAAUGGUAUCAGGAAAAAAAAAAAAUUCUUAACAAAAAUUUAUUCGAGCAUGAGAAAAGGUGUAUUAGUUUCAUUUUA